UGCUCAUAGAAACCAGCACGAUGGCAAGCCAACCCGCGCCCCCAUCUGAUUCUAGGGUUCGUCCCACUCUUUCUUCUCCGCUGUACGAGAGAGUUUGAGCUCUGGAAGUCGUCGUGAAGAAUCUAUUUGUAGGGUUUUGAUCGCGUCGUUUGAUCUUUGUUUUAAUGAUCUGAAACGCCUCCGGUUACAGCUUCAUGGCGUUAAACCCCUUCUUAAAUCCAUCACCCAAGAUCUCGACUUCAAUGCGAUUUUUUCUUCGCAAGGGUGUGUAUCUGCGAAUAUAAAAAGUCCGGACGGUGCUCCUCCACCGUUCAGGUGUGUUUUCUCCAGAUUGCUCCGGUUCUGGGUGCCAUAAACGUCCGCAGGCGACCAUGAUGGUAGUCACCAUGAAUGUCAACCGGCUUGCUACUUACAUGCCAAACGCCUUCAAAGCUUUGAUGUGACUCGAUGUAAUCAAAAUUUCCGACUGUUGGACUCCUCUCUGCUGAUUCGUUUCAGGGAUACAAACUCCCUUGAUGAGGUCACCGAACCGUGAUCAGUGCCUUCCAAGACAAAGCGACUGACUUGAUUGAUGAAGAUGGAUCUUUGGUUCGACCUUGCCAUGCUCAGAUCCCUGAGGAAGCUAGAGAGCUUGAAAAGCAACUCAGACAGAUCACUUAGGAGAAGCAUGAGUCUGUGCGAGGCCAAGAAUUUUAGAAGCAACAGGUUAGUUCUCACUAUAACCAGAAAAAUAAUAUAGGGACGAGAUAGAUAUAUGUUGUUUAAGCCAAAGGCAAAGAAGUGAGCAAAGCUGAGACAUAAGCUGGUGAAUAAGGAGGGCCUACUGCCACUGAAUCCGACAUCCAACCCAUUGUCUCCACCUGGUCAUGAAUUUUGGUUGAGAAAGUCUGAUGAAUCUAGCCCUAUUCCCAAUAUGGUGCAGAGACUUCACAGAAGAUUUAUCGGACAAAACAAAGUUACCAUAGCUAUUGUCUGGGAGAUCCAACGUCCAUGUGCUGGGCUCAAGAACCCAAACCACACAAUCUAAUAUUUUGAAUUUUCUUAAAAGUAUUCUAUGUACUUUUAUCUUUUGUGUAUUAUUUCUUUUCAUGCUACUUGAUUCUACAUAUAAAAACACUUGGUUGUGUUCGAGA